rnacentral:rRNA from 1 species
AGAGUUUGAUCAUGGCUCAGGAUGAACGCUAGCGGCAGGCUUAACACAUGACAAGUCGAGGGGCAGCAUAAUGGAUAGCAAUAUCUAUGGUGGCGACCGGCGCACGGGUGCGUAACGCGUAUGCAACCUACCUUUAACGAGGGGGAUAACACUGAGAAAUUGGUACUAAUACCCCAUAAUAUCAUAGAAGGCAUCUUUUAUGGUUGAAAAUUACCGAUGGUUAGAGAUGGGCAUGCGUUGUAUUAGCUAGUUGGGUGGGGUAACGGCUCACCAAGGCGACGAUACAUAGGGGGACUGAGAGGUUAACCCCCCACCACUGGUACUGAGACACGGACCAGACUCCUACGGGAGGCAGCA